rnacentral:misc_RNA from 1 species
GAUGAAGAACGCAGCGAAAUGCGAUAAGUAAUGUGAAUUGCAGAAUUCAGUGAAUCAUCGAAUCUUUGAACGCACAUUGCGCCCGCCAGUAUUCUGGCGGGCAUGCCUGUCUGAGCGUCAUUUCAACCCUCAUGCCCCUAGGGCGUGGUGUUGGGGAUCGGCCAAAGCCCGCGAGGGACGGCCGGCCCCUAAAUCUAGUGGCGGACCCGUCGUGGCCUCCUCUGCGAAGAAGUGAUAUUCCGCAUCGGAGAGCGAUGAGCCCCUGCCGUUAAACCCCCAACUUUCCAAGGUUGACCUCAGAUCAGGUAGGAAUACCCGCUGAACUUAAGCAUAUCAAUAAGCGGAGGA